ACGGGGGAUGCAAGCGUUAUCCGGAUUUAUUGGGUUUAAAGGGUGCGUAGGCGGUUUGAUAAGUCAGCGGUGAAAUAUUUCAGCUUAACUGAAAGGGUGCCGUUGAUACUGUCAGGCUUGAAUAUGGUUGAUGUAGGUGGAAUGUGUGGUGUAGCGGUGAAAUGCUUAGAUAUUGGACGGAAUACCAAUUGCGAAGGCAGCUUACAGAGCUAUAAUUGACGCUGAUGCGCGAAAGUUAGGGGAGCGAACGG
rnacentral:rRNA from 1 species